UAGGGAAUCUUCCGCAAUGGGCGAAAGCCUGACGGAGCAACGCCGCGUGAGUGAUGAAGGUCUUCGGAUCGUAAAACUCUGUUAUUAGGGAAGAACAAAUGUGUAAGUAACUAUGCACGUCUUGACGGUACCUAAUCAGAAAGCCACGGCUAACUACGUGCCAGCAGCCGCGGUAAUACGUAGGUGGCAAGCGUUAUCCGGAAUUAUUGGGCGUAAAGCGCGCGUAGGCGGUUUUUUAAGUCUGAUGUGAAAGCCCACGGCUAAACCGUGGAGGGUCAUUGGAAACUGGAAAACUUGAGUGCAGAAGAGGAAAGUGGAAUUCCAUGUGUAGCGGUGAAAUGCGCAGAGAUAUGGAGGAACACCAGUGGCGAAGGCGACUUUCUGGUAUGUAACUGACGCUGAUGUGCGAAAGCGUGGGGAUCAAACAGG
rnacentral:rRNA from 1 species